GGUAACUUUUCGUUCCAGUUGUUUUCACGUAACUAACUCACGUAUUCCUCUUUUUUCUUUAUUUAUUACCUGUCUAUCAAACUUCCUCGUUUCACUUGACAAAUUGUCUGGGAACGCGCUCUCGCGAAACUACAGUCGCAUAAAGAUUUGUCUCAAUUAUGGAAUUUCGCGUAAUCAUAUUCACCAGCAGCGGAUAGAAUAUUAGCACAAAUCACCGCUCUUCGGUUCCACGUAGAAGACGCCUGAGAUGAAAUUUCGAGGAUCGCGGCACUCAGGAAAAAAUAGACAAUCGUUUCGAAAAGCAAACGUCGAAAAAUUAAUGUCGAAGACAGUUCGCUUUCGUCGAUGCUGAUUAAGACACUCUUGUUAUUCUCUGGACGACGUUUCGAGUGGAACAGACGUCGUUGCUUAACAGCAUAUAUUUUAUGGGUGAGUACAGUAAGAAAGAUUAUGAUAAGCUUCUAACGAAUACAUAUAGGUCCUUAAAAAAAUUAUUACAAUUUUUCUAAUAUACUGUACAGCUUGGAUUUGCAUAUACCGUACCACGCAACGUGUAAAAUGCAGAUAACCUCAAAAACUGUGAUGUUUCAAAUAUAUAAUUACCAACGGUAUAAUUCUGUAAUAUAAAAACUAACUCAAACUAUCCGUUAAAUUGAAUUGAGUUCCAGAAAUAUAUGAGAUCCGCAUUGAACAGAGCGCAGCCAUGAUGAAUCUUGAAUAAAAGGAAAGAGAAGGUAUUCGCAUUGGAGUGGAGCACGCGAAAGGUCAAAGAGACACAAAUAUGUCUUGGCUCGACUCGAGCGUCCUCGAGGAAACAUUCGAGAUGGUCCAAGAUAAAAAGCAGAACGUCGCCGAUUUCAAUCUAAAGCCGUGAGAAGUCAAGGAAGCCAAAAAGCCGUACUGGGAAGUGGUAGCAGAGAAGAAAAGUAUCAAGAUAGAGACACAUAGUCCGUGAUUCGACAUAAUUGAUGAACGACUGGAGCCAUAAUAACAGCUGGAUAUAAAGGAGUAUUGAAAGAAGAAGAUUGGCAGAAGGGCAAAGGACGAUAAAAAAAUCAUUCAAACUCGCGUUAUCGACCAGUGGUCGAAUGGCGCACGAAACUAGAGCGUGCGAGCCAUCCUAGUAGCGACAUUAGCUUGGCAGUCCGAUAAGGGUGGAGAGCUACUGGCCUAGAUAGGUGAGUUAGAUUCGUUGUGUAUCUUCUACCCCCACCACUCAAACAAUUUACCCCCUCCAUGUCAUUUUAACCCCCCACCCUUCAAGGAGACUACCUCAGAACUAUCCCCUCCCAGCUCCAGCACGUUCCACAUAAGCGGGAAUCGAUUCUUCCUCGGUCACCUAGGCCCGAAGCGUCCUCCGUUAUCCGGCAACCUCAAAACAAUUAUGUACUCUUCGGGAAUAGGCUGAUCACCAGAUCCGAUGUUUACAUGGUCGCUGACGAUCAAUUUCCAUGAGGUAGCUAAUAGAGAAACAGCCUUCCCCGUCAGCCGGAAAACGGCAAACUACUUGGAGGAGGAUGGCUGAAUUUUUGUAAGAUGAGUUGGACUGGGGCCUCCGAGCUUUGCAAGUUUAAAAUCGCAAUGGUGAACGAUGUCGCGCACUUGUUCCUCUUCCUCGCGACACCUCGCCGCGGGUUCC